rnacentral:rRNA from 1 species
UACGUAGGGGGCAAGCGUUGUCCGGAUUUACUGGGCGUAAAGAGCGCGCAGGCGGUCGUUCAAGUCGCGUUGUGAAAGCCCCCCGGCUCAACUGGGGAGGGUCACGCGAUACUGAUCGACUCGAAGGCAGGAGAGGGUAGUGGAAUUCCCGGUGUAGUGGUGAAAUGCGUAGAUAUCGGGAGGAACACCAGUGGCGAAGGCGACUACCUGGCCUGUUCUUGACGCUGAGGCGCGAAAGCUAGGGGAGCAAACGGG